UACGGGGGGGGCAAGCGUUGUUCGGAAUUACUGGGCGUAAAGGGCUCGUAGGCGGCCAACUAAGUCCGACGUGAAAUCCCCAGGCUUAACCUGGGAACUGCGUCGGAUACUGGAUGGCUUGAAUCCGGGAGAGGGAUGCGGAAUUCCAGGUGUAGCGGUGAAAUGCGUAGAUAUCUGGAGGAACACCGGUGGCGAAGGCGGGUCUCUGGGCAGUAACUGACGCUGAGGAGCGAAAGCGUGGGGAGCGAACAGG
rnacentral:rRNA from 1 species